UACGUAGGUCCCGAGCGUUGUCCGGAUUUAUUGGGCGUAAAACGAACGCAGGUGGUUUAUUAAGUCUGGUGUAAAAGGCAGUGGCUCAACCAUUGUAUGCAUUGGAAACUGGUAGACUUGAGUGCAGGAGAGGAGAGUGGAAUUCCAUGUGUAGCGGUGAAAUGCGUAGAUAUAUGGAGGAACACCGGUGGCGAAAGCGGCUCUCUGGCCUGUAACUGACACUGAGGCUCGAAAGCGUGGGGAGCAAACAGG
rnacentral:rRNA from 1 species